GACGAACGCUGGCGGCGUGCUUAACACAUGCAAGUCGAGCGGAAAGGCCACUUCGGUGGUACUCGAGCGGCGAACGGGUGAGUAACACGUGAGUAAUCUGCCCCUCACUUUGGGAUAGCCACCGGAAACGGUGAUUAAUACCGGAUAUGACCAUAUGUCGCAUGGCGUGUGGUGGAAAGUUUUUCGGUGAGGGAUGUGCUCGCGGCCUAUCAGCUUGAUGGGGAGGUAAUGGCUCCCCAUGGCUUCGACGGGUAGCCGGCCUGAGAGGGUGACCGGUCACACUGGGACUGAGACACGGCCCAGACUCCUACGGGAGGCAGCAGUGGGGAAUAUUGGACAAUGGGCGGAAGCCUGAUCCAGCAACGCCGCGUGAGGGAUGACGGCCUUCGGGUUGUAAACCUCUUUCAGUACCGACGAAGCGCAAGUGACGGUAGGUACAGAAGAAGCACCGGCCAACUACGUG
rnacentral:rRNA from 1 species